rnacentral:rRNA from 1 species
UUUUAAAUAAAGACCUGUAUGAAUGGCAUCACGAGGGCUCAUCUGUCUCUCUUUUCCAGUCAAUGAAAUUGAUCUGCCCGUGCAGAACCGGACAUAUCCCCAUAAGACGAGAAGACCCUAUGGAGCUUUAACAAGAAUCAACCAUG